ACUUAGUUCCGUUUCCGUUCCAUUUUCAUCCCUACUCACUCCCAAGGAGAGUGGCAGACGGUGGCGGCGGCCCAGAUCUGCGUCCUCUCUCGAGCAACUCGACUGCGGCAAGUCGGUGUUGGCAUCCUCGCCUCCUCCCCAUCUCUGGCUCUAGGAGCAGCUCGCAGGUAUACUCCCUUGAGAUCCGUACUCCCUUACUCCUACCACUCAUGAUCCGGAUCCAGCAGUAGCUCCGGUGGCGGGCUCCUAAACUCCUUCCCCUCUCAAGUUCAACAGCAAGGUACACUGCUCCCACUCCCCUCCCCCAUAUCUCUCCUCCAAAUUUGUAUAUGUAAUGGCCGCUAGCUACAAAUCUCACCAUGUUCGUGUUCUAUCUAAUAUGCAACUCUCUAGUGUGCCUGUCAGAAUUCCUGCACUAAAUUUAUUUCACAACCAAUAAUUAAAAACAGCUAGUUGUGUGUUCUGUACUAAUUGCAGGAGAUGGCUGGUGUACUAAUUAAUCUAUCUCAUUGUGUGCCAGCUAGAGAUCCCACAAUACAAGAUUUUAAUUUAUGCUGGUUUGCCAUGCUUGAGUCUUCAGGUAUGCUGAUUUGCCAUGCUCUAGGUUAGAUCUAUCAAUUUGGAUGAAAUUAGAGAAACACUACAAUCAACCAGAUGACCUUUUUCGUGUUCCAUCAUAUAAGAAGCUGGAGCCCUAGAAGCAUGAACCACUAUAUGAAAUUGUAGAUAGCAUUAUUAGUGACUCAUUCUAGUUGUUGCAAUAAGAAAAAACGCAUUUGGUUAUUUUCAGUACCUCUGGAGACGCCUCAUACCUGUUAGAAUAUAGAUGAAAAGACCGGAGUAUCCUUUUUGGGAAUAAAAGAUUAUUCAAUGGGUAAGUAUCUCCCUGCUGGAUCUAUGGGGGAUUGUUCUUAUUCCCCAUCAUUAUGCAUGUGAUGGUACAUACAUGAACAUAAUGUAUUUGUAAUCUGUUGUGAAUCCUACGUGACCAUGGUCGAGAGUUGUUUCAGAAUUCUUACUGAAUUGUAAACCAACUAAAUCGUGCUCAUUCUACACAUAAAAAGGUGUCACCAGGUGCUAAUCUCGACGAUGAAUAUGUGAAGACUAAUGAGUUGUGAUUCUCCUUUUUAUUUAUUUUGUCCGCUUGUAUCUCAAACAAAUGAUGUGACUAAUAUAAAAGAUAGUAGAGCUUACAAACAGUUCAUCUCAGCCUUAAAAGAAUUUAUCAUUUAUCGAAACAAAACUGCAAAUAUUUGCACCAAGAAUAGUUUUGUCAUUCUCAAGUGAUAUUUCUGAUAAUAAAUGAUGUGACUAAUCUGGAAGACAGUAGAGCUUACAAGCAGUUCAUCUCGGCCUUAAAAGAAAUUAUCAUUUGACCUGCCGGCUGUCUGUUGUGACCUCUCAGUUUCAUGAUUAACUGGACCAGAGAUUUGUUCCUGCGAGUCAAAUGCAUUGUUGAUGCAUAUUCAGUCGAUUAGCUCACAAGUAAAUAUUUGAAGUAUGAAUGUAUGACACUUACAUGAUCUUGUGCUCAAACUGACUUGUAUUUGCUUCAGUGUGGUCCUUCCCAGCAAGAAGCACUACAACUGGAGGUAGAAGCUAGAGCUCUUUUUUCAUGUACGUCAAGAAAUCAAAAGUUGAUGCAAAUUUUGACAGCAAUGUGUGUUCAAGAGUGAUCACCUUCAUACUCGGUCUUGUUGGUCAUGGACUAAAAAUUAUCAUGUUAUGUUAUGUGUAAACUUGAUAUGUAUGUAUAUCUAUGGUGUGCCUGAGAUGCUCCAGUUUGGCAUGCACUACGAAUUUUGUGCCUAGGAUGGUCCACUGACUCAAAUAUUUGUGCUUGGGGUGACUAGAAAUGAUCAUGUCAUGUAUAACUUGAUAUGUAUGCCUGGGAUGCUCGAGUUUGACAAGUACGCAAAGAAGUUCUGCCUAGGAUGUUCAAGUUGCUUCAAUACUUGUGCUUGUGAUGGUCCAUUUUGAAAUGUACUCAUAUUUGUGCUGAGAUCGUCCAGUUUGACAUUGACAUGUACGCGAAAUAUUUGUGCAUGGGAUUGUCCAGCUUGACAUGUACUGACCAACAUAUUUUCUUGCAUAAUUAGUGAUAUAAUAAAAGCCAACAUUUUCUACUUAAAUAUACAUGCAGUACAUCUGUGCAAAGAGGGG
rnacentral:lncRNA from 1 species